AUGGCUGUGCAGAACACUCUGGAAGCAGUGUGGCUGGGGCUCCUUCUCAGCUUUCUUUGGAAGGCUACAGAGAGCAAGGACCAAGUAACUCAGCCUUCCACUGUCAAGUCUUCAGAGGGAGCUGUGGCGGAAAUCUCCUGUAGUCACUCUAUACUCAAUGUUUACAACUUCUUCUGGUACAUUCACCUCCCAGAAUCGGCUCCAACACUCCUUAUUAAGGGCACGAAGUCUGUUCAGCAGGACCGCUACAACAUGACUGUCAAGGCCAAAUCCUUAUCCCUGCUCAUCACCCAGGUGCAGCUGACAGAUGCAGCCACUUACUAUUGUGCCCUAGAGGACACAGAGGCAGGGAGCCCGUGA